UUUAUGCCCUAACACCCUGAAUACACCCGAUCUUGUCUGAUCUUGGAAGCAAAGCAGGGGCAGGGUCAGGCCUGGUCACUACUUGAGUGGGAGAAUGCCUGAUUGCUAGAC
rnacentral:rRNA from 1 species